rnacentral:rRNA from 1 species
GACGAACGCUGGCGGCGUGCUUAACACAUGCAAGUCGAACGGAAAGACCUCUUUCGGGGGGUACUCGAGUGGCGAACGGGUGAGUAACACGUAAGUAGCCUGCCCUUGACUUUGGGAUAACUUACGUAAACAGGGGCUAAUACCGGAUAGGAGAUCCUUCUGCCUGGAGGGGGUUGGAAAGUUUCGGCGGUUGGGGGUGGGCUCGCGGGGUAUCAGCUUGUUGGUGGGGUAGUGGCUUACCAAGGCGUUGACGGGUAACCGGCCUGAGAGGGUGACAGGCCACAUUGGGACUGAGAGACGGCACAGGCUGCGACGGGUGGGAGCAGGGGGGAAGCUUGCACAAGGGGUGGAAGCCUGAUGCAGAAACGCCGCGUGCGGGAUGACGGUCUUCGGGUUGUAAACCGCUUGCGCACAUGACGAAGCUCUGUGUGACGGUAGUGGGUAAAGAAGCACCGGCUAACUACGUG